rnacentral:rRNA from 1 species
AGCAAACGCUGGCGGCAGGCCUAACACAUGCAAGUCGAACGAACUCUUCGGAGUUAGUGGCGGACGGGUGAGUAACACGUGGGAACGUGCCUUUAGGUUCGGAAUAACUCAGGGAAACUUGUGCUAAUACCGAAUGUGCCCUUCGGGGGAAAGAUUUAUCGCCUUUAGAGCGGCCCGCGUCUGAUUAGCUUGUUGGUGGGGUAAUGGCCCACCAAGGCGACGAUCAGUAGCUGGUCUGAGAGGAUGACCAGCCACAUUGGGACUGAGACACGGCCCAAACUCCUACGGGAGGCAGCAGUGGGGAAUCUUGCGCAAUGGGCGAAAGCCUGACGCAGCCAUGCCGCGUGAAUGAUGAAGGUCUUAGGAUUGUAAAAUUCUUUCACCGGGGACGAUAAUGACGGUACCCGGAGAAGAAGCCCCGGCUAACUUCGUGCCAGCCGCCGCCGUAAUAC